AAGGUAGUCAAUUCAUUAGCAAACUUGAGUUUAAUAUUUGUGUGAUAACAUGAAAUGUUGUUUGUAGUAUCUUGAGAGUUGGAGGACUGGAUAUGAGCUAGAUAGGAAGCUGGACCUGAAUGGGCUUAUGGUUCGUGGGCUUAUGGUUCGUGGGCUUAUCAGCUGAGAAGUAUUCAUAGGCUAUUAAAGGGCGUGAUCUAUUUCUGUUCUCGGUGAAUUGAGUUUUGUUCAUUCACAUUAAUGCACACAACAGAUACUUUCUCUCACGUCAUUGUUCAUCUCUGGUUGUUUCUCUCACUUAGGGUUUUGAUUGUUCUGUUCGUCGAUUAGAUAAGUUGUGAGAGAGUGUAGUUCAUCGAGUUGAUAAUCUGCUGGUGAGAUAUCGAGAGAUUCACGUUGAGUAUUCAUUUGUUUGUGUCUGUUGAAGUUUUAUCAGUGAGUAAUAAACCGUUCUUUACAUAAAUCCAUGUGUUUUGACAUGGUAUCAGAGCAAGAAGGCUCCGAUCUUUAGUUGUUUUCCGCUGCGGUGAAGGCCUGGAAAGAAUUCUGCUCAGAUCUGAGUUUGUAUAAACUUAUUAUUCGAUUAAGAUCAAAAAAUUAGGGUUUGUGCAAACCCUAGGGUUUCAAGUGGUGAGCUGUGUUGUUUGGGAUUCAAAAGGUGUUCAAUCUGUCUUGGAGUGGUGUUCUUCUGUGAAUCUGAUGUUCUUGUGUGAAUCGAAAAUUUGAAGAUCUACCCUAAAAUUAGGGUUUCCUGCAGUUGUGUUAAGUCACGAGGUACCAUUUUGAGUUUCAAUAAAGCAGGUUUGACAAUGGCCAAAUUAGUCCAUACUUAAUCCGAGUCACUUACACUCAAUGAGAAGGCAAAAUAUUAAUCUGGAAUAAGACUUUGCUGUUGGAUUGAGGAAUGACAUGUUAAAGGGUGAAACAACUUUGGGAAGUUAAACUCUCAGGGAAGUUCUUUACUUCUUUAAUAAAAUCGAUAAUUGUCUUUCAUGUUAUCGUUUAUUAAUAUCAUUUUUAUUCAUGUUUGUUUGUCAUUUCUAAAGAAAUGAAUGAAUGGUUUAAACCAAAACUGAAAUUUGUUUUUUUUAAUUCAAGUUUUUUAACAUAACGGGUAGUAUAUGUAAAUAUAGUUUUCUUGAAAAAAAAAACUUGGAUUUAAGGGGAAAUUUUGAAUGUGUUUGCUAGUUGAAUUGAGGGGGGAUGUUAAAAAGGUAGUCAAUUCAUUAGCAAACUUGAGUUUAAUAUUUGUGUGAUAACAUGAAAUGUUGUUUGUAGUAUCUUGAGAGUUGGAGGACUGGAUAUGAGCUAGAUAGGAAGCUGGACCUGAAUGGGCUUAUGGUUCGUGGGCUUAUGGUUCGUGGGCUUAUCAGCUGAGAAGUAUUCAUAGGCUAUUAAAGGGCGUGAUCUAUUUCUGUUCUCGGUGAAUUGAGUUUUGUUCAUUCACAUUAAUGCACACAACAGAUACUUUCUCUCACAUCAUUGUUCAUCUCUGGUUGUUUCUCUCACUUAGGGUUUUGAUUGUUCUGUUCGUCGAUUAGAUAAGUUGUGAGAGAGUGUAGUUCAUCGAGUUGAUAAUCUGCUGGUGAGAUAUCGAGAGAUUCACGUUGAGUAUUCAUUUGUUUGUGUCUGUUGAAGUUUUAUCAGUGAGUAAUAAACCGUUCUU